AUUAAAUGCAUUUUUACAAAAAUGUAUAUAUAACCACAUUACCACCACCUACAUCAAGAGAGACUUUAUCCAGGAUUCUAGAAGUCUCCUUUAUCCCCCUCCUAGACAACACUUCCAUCAAAGGCAACCUCUAUCAACUCAAACUUAUUUUACCAAUUCUUAAUUUAAAAGGAAUUUUGGCUCUGGUAUUUUUGCUUAACAUGAUUCCUAUGACAUUUUUUAUUUAUUGUUGUGACUCAUAGUAGUUCUUUUUAAAAAAAAAAUGCCGAAUAAUAUCCUAUUUGGUGAAUAGUCCACAAUUUAUGUCUUCAUGUGUUAUUUUUGUACAUUUCAUGAGUUUCUAGUUUGGAGUAUUGUGAAUGAAGAAUCUAUGAAAUUCUUGCAUAUUUUGAUUCUUGCAUAUUUUGAUUCUUGCAUAUGUGUAAACCAUAAAUCUUAUUUUUAUUGGAUACAUACCCACUCAUGGAAUCACUGAGUCAUAAGAUAUAAAUAUAUAAUAAUGAUUAGAUUUAAAAGAUAAUGCAAAUGAGUUAUUUUGGUUUUUGUUUUCAAACAAGUUGUACCUGUUUUCAGUUCUUUAGCAGUCUGAAAAGUUUUAGUUGUUCUAUAUCCUCAGGGACACUUGGCGUUGUUACUAUGACUCUUUAGAACAAUAUAUAAUUUGGAUACUCUGUUUCAUUAUCACAUUGUUUUAGUCAGCUUUUUCCCUGCUGUGAUCAAAAGACCUGACAAGAAAAAUGUAGAGGAGGAGAAGUUUAUUUUGGCUCACAGUUUCAGAGAUUUAGUCUAUGGUCUGCCAACUCAGUAUCUCCAGGCCAGAGGUGAGGCAGAACAUCAUGACAGAAUAAAACAGCUCAGGACAUUGCAGUCAGGAGAAAGAGAGCUCUGCUCACUGGGGACAAAAUGUAUUCCCCAAAGGCAUGCCCUCUGUGAUCUACCUUCUCUAGCCACACCCUGACUGCCUACAGUUAUUACCCAGUUAAUCCAUAUCAGUGGAUUAAUCCACUGAUUAGAUCCCAACUGUCAAAAUCACUUCAACUCUGAACAUUCUUGUACUAUCUCACUGUGGGGGUGAGACCGGUAACCAAACCAUAACACAUUCAUGCACAAAUUACAUGUAACUGAUUAAUUAACAAAAGAUAGCAUUCUUGUAGAAAAGAAAUUUCCAUUGACAAUCAAAUUCCUAGGACUGUAGACAUUUUCUUCUGUAUUCAUUUUUUUAAAAAAUCAGAAUUAUUAAAAUAAUAACAAUAAAUCUCACCAAUUUUAAGCAUAGAAUUUGUUGAAUUUUGAUAAUUGUAUACAAUUGCAUGACUUCUAUGGUGAAGAUAAGUAAUACUUUCAUCACACCAAAAAGUCCCUUUGUCAUUUUAAGGAUCUUGGCUGUCAUUGACCUGCUAUUGUUUACUAGUCGGUUUUUCUCUUAGAAAAUUACUUGAAUGAAUCAUAUGGCAUGCAGUCCUUGCUUUCACUUAGCAAAAUGUUCAUGUAAUUGUUUCUAAUCGGUAAUUUAUUCCUUUUGUUGGUGGGUUGUAUUUCAUUUAGCCACUUAGAUGUUGAUGGAAAUUUUAAUUCUUCCCGACUUAGAGUUAUUAUGAGCAAAUCUACUUUUUGAGUACAGUGUGAAACAAAUGCUUCUGUAUCUCUUGGAUAAUUAACCUAAGGAAAGAAAUCUC
rnacentral:lncRNA from 1 species